CCCGGAUUUUCGCGCCUGCUGCCAUCUUGAGGAGGGGAAAGGCCGGAGCAAGCCUAGGUUGGAGAUCUCAGUUCAUGGAACUAUAAGGUCCUCUGGUAGUUUAAGAAAAUGCUCUGCUUACCAUUAAGGCAUAGCAAGAAUCAGGAAGAAUGAAGAUACAAUGUAAAGAAGGUGGAAGAUAUCACCAACGACCAACAGCAACGAUGUCACAGGAGGAUGAAUUAGGACACUCAUCUAGAACUUUGUGCUAUAGGGGUGGGGGCUACAAUAAAGUGAAAGCAACUAGCGGCCAAGAUGGUCCUGCCCAUGUUGCCUUUCUAACCAUCUCCCCCAGUCCUCUUAGAACUCACAGAGGACACGUAGGCAUCUGUAGUCACAGGGAGUAACUGAUUCUCUGAUCCUAUUGAUCAUCAACAUUUACCUUUAUCAUGAAUAAGAAAAGACCAAAGAAAAAGCCAAUUUCAGACUUUAAGAGGCUGCAAGAAUACAGUGUAUGUCGAUAAGAAAUGCCUUUUUUCAUACUCACAAAUUUAGAUCUGCAAUUAAUAGCCUGAUAGUUGGUGAAAUUCUUGUCUUUCUCUAUGGAAUGCCCAGACUCUGAACUAUUUAAAAUAUUCAAGCAUUUGAAAUCUAUACUCACAUGAGAUUUCACUCAGAAUAGGCCUUUAUGAAUAUUCAUGUUGAAGUAUUUAGCCUCAGGGUGUGAAAUAUUAAUCUCUUACCUGAGUUUUACAUCUA